GACGAACGCUGGCGGCGUGCUUAACACAUGCAAGUCGAACGGAGUGGCGAACGGGUGAGUAACACGUGGGUGACCUGCCCUGCACUUCGGGAUAAGCCUGGGAAACUGGGUCUAAUACCGGAUAGUGUGGGAUGGGCCCGCGGCCUAUCAGCUUGUUGGUGGGGUAAUGGCCUACCAAGGCGGUGACGGGUAGCCGGCCUGAGAGGGUGACCGGCCACAUUGGGAGUGAGAUACUGCCCAGACUCCUACGGGAGGCAGCAGUGGGGGAUAUUGCACAAUGGGCGAAAGCCUGAUGCAGCGACGCCGCGUGGGGGAUGAAGGCUUUCGAGUCGUAAAGUUCUUUUAUAUGGGAAGCGGUACCAUAAGAAAAAGCCCCGGCUAACUACGUGCCAGCAGCCGCGGUAAUUC
rnacentral:rRNA from 1 species